rnacentral:rRNA from 1 species
CUUAGAGUUUGAUCCUGGCUCAAGACGAACGCUGGCGGCGCGCCUAACACAUGCAAGUCGAACGAGCGAGAGAGAGCUUGCUUUCUCGAGCGAGUGGCGAACGGGUGAGUAACGCGUGAGGAACCUGCCUCAAAGAGGGGGACAACAGUUGGAAACGACUGCUAAUACCGCAUAAGCCCACGGGUCGGCAUCGACCAGAGGGAAAAGGAGCAAUCCGCUUUGAGAUGGCCUCGCGUCCGAUUAGCUAGGUGGUGAGGUAACGGCCCACCAAGGCAACGAUCGGUAGCCGGACUGAGAGGUUGAACGGCCACAUUGGGACUGAGACACGGCCCAGACUCCUACGGGAGGCAGCAGUGGGGAAUAUUGCACAAUGGGGGAAACCCUGAUGCAGCGACGCCGCGUGGAGGAAGAAGGUCUUCGGAUUGUAAACUCCUGUUGUUGAGGAAGAUAAUGACGGUACUCAACAAGGAAGUGACGGCUAACUACGUGCCAGCAGCCGCGGUAAAACGUAGGUCACAAGCGUUGUCCGGAAUUACUGGGUGUAAAGGGAGCGCAGGCGGGAAGACAAGUUGGAAGUGAAAUCCAUGGGCUCAACCCAUGAACUGCUUUCAAAACUGUUUUUCUUGAGUAGUGCAGAGGUAGGCGGAAUUCCCGGUGUAGCGGUGGAAUGCGUAGAUAUCGGGAGGAACACCAGUGGCGAAGGCGGCCUACUGGGCACCAACUGACGCUGAGGCUCGAAAGUGUGGGUAGCAAACAGGAUUAGAUACCCUGGUAGUCCACACCGUAAACGAUGAUUACUAGGUGUUGGAGGAUUGACCCCUUCAGUGCCGCAGUUAACACAAUAAGUAAUCCACCUGGGGAGUACGACCGCAAGGUUGAAACUCAAAGGAAUUGACGGGGGCCCGCACAAGCAGUGGAGUAUGUGGUUUAAUUAGACGCAACGCGAAGAACCUUACCAAGUCUUGACAUCCCUUGACGAUGCUGGAAACAGUAUUUCUCUUCGGAGCAAGGAGACAGGUGGUGCAUGGUUGUCGUCAGCUCGUGUCGUGAGAUGUUGGGUUAAGUCCCGCAACGAGCGCAACCCUUAUGGUCAGUUACUACGCAAGAGGACUCUGGCCAGACUGCCGUUGACAAAACGGAGGAAGGUGGGGAUGACGUCAAAUCAUCAUGCCCUUUAUGACUUGGGCUACACACGUACUACAAUGGCGUUAAACAAAGAGAAGCAAGACCGCGAGGUGGAGCAAAACUCAGAAACAACGUCCCAGUUCGGACUGCAGGCUGCAACUCGCCUGCACGAAGUCGGAAUUGCUAGUAAUCGUGGAUCAGCAUGCCACGGUGAAUACGUUCCCGGGCCUUGCACU